GCAGGAUAGCUUAGUUGGUUAGAGCAUAGUGCUGAUAGUGCCAAGGUUACAGGUUCAAUCCCCUUAAAGGACAGCUGCA